AAGUCGAACGAUGAAGCCCUUCGGGGUGGAUUAGUGGCGAACGGGUGAGUAACACGUGGGCAAUCUGCCCUUCACUCUGGGACAAGCCCUGGAAACGGGGUCUAAUACCGGAUGACACCUUCUCCUGCAUAGGGGAGGGUUGAAAGCUCCGGCGGUGAAGGAUGAGCCCGCGGCCUAUCAUCUUGUUGGUGGGGUAAUGGCCUACCAAGGCGACGACGGGUAGCCGGCCUGAGAGGGCGACCGGCCACACUGGGACUGAGACACGGCCCAGACUCCUACAGGAGGCAGCAGUGGGGAAUAUUGCACAAUGGGCGAAAGCCUGAUGCACCGACGCCGCGUGAGGGAUGACGGCCUUCGGGUUGUAAACCUCUUUCAGCAGGGAAGAAGCGCAAGUGACGGUACCUGCAGAAGAAGCGCCGGCUAACUACGUGCCAGCAGCCGCGGUAAUACGUAGGGCGCAAGCGUUGUCCGGAAUUAUUGGGCGUAAAGAGCUCGUACGCGGCUUGUCACGUCGGAUGUGAAAGCCCGGGGCUUAACCCCGGGUCUGCAUUCGAUACGGGCUAGCUAGAGUGUGGUAGGGGAGAUCGGAAUUCCUGGUGUAGCGGUGAAAUGCGCAGAUAUCAGGAGGAACACCGGUGGCGAAGGCGGAUCUCUGGGCCAUUACUGACGCUGAGGAGCGAAAGCGUGGGGAGCGAACAGGAUUAGAUACCCUGGUAGUCCACGCCGUAAACGUUGGGAACUAGGUGUUGGCGACAUUCCACGUCGUCGGUGCCGCAGC
rnacentral:rRNA from 1 species